rnacentral:tRNA from 1 species
GGUAAACUCAGUGGAAGAGUGUCUGCUUUGAAUGCAGAACGUCCCAGGUUCAAUCUCCGGCAUCUUCA